rnacentral:lncRNA from 12 species
ACCAAUCCAGCUUUAGCCUCGAAAUUCUAAGUGCUCUACCCAGGCAGGGAUCCUAAGAAAUGUGUAUGCUCCAGGUCUUGCCACUUUAUCUGCCUUCAUCCUGCUUGACCUUCCCAUUGUGGCCUUUUGAGGUAGCUUUGAAGUCAAGGUGGGGAAUAAAUGAAACAAGUGAGGAAAUGAGACAGACAGUGGUAACAGCUAAGAGCCUUUUGAAACAAUUCAAGUUAGUAUAUGUUGUGCCCAAGAUUACGUAUCCGAGAAACUACCAAGGAGCCGGUUUGUGUUUUGCACAGAGCCUUCCCUAUGAUGAUUACACAUCAUUCAACUAGUAUUUAAUUGAGACUUUAAGGACCGAUCUACUCAUGAGGUGAAAAAGGCAAAGUUACAGUUAUAGUAAAAGUUACUGCUUUGAAUUCCCUGAAUUUUUAUUCUAAAAUAUCAGUUACCAAUCACUUGGCAUGAAUUCUUACUCUAAAACUCCGGUUAGUAGCCGUUAGGCCUGAAUUCAAUAUAUGUAUUCUGUUGUGUGUGGUGAAAAGCCACAGAUAUGAUUGAUUACUUUUAGUAAUAGAGUCAUAUAAAAAAUACACAGUCAUUUAUAUUAUAAAACCUCUUUAUUAAUGGUAGGUUAGGGGAAUGUUGUUUUGACAGUCCACAGAAGGUACCUUAUUGUGCAUUUGUGUUAUUCACUUGGCCAAAAUUUGCUCAUUUGGGCUUUUUAAGUGAAGACAAUAACAUUUUAAUUUUUUUUUUCUUAAGUUUUUAUUUAUUUAUGAUAGUCACAAAGAGAGAGAGAGAGAGAGGCAGAGACACAGGCAGAGGGAGAAGCAGGCUCCAAGCACCGGGAGCCCGACGUGAGAUUCGAUCCCGGAUCUCCAGGAUCGCGCCCUGGGCCAAAGGCAGGCGCCAAACCACUGCGCCACCCAGGGAUCCCGACAAUAACAUUUUAAAAGUUAAUGAGUUUUAUAAUUACUCAAGAGACUGGGUGGUAUAGAAAGUAUAAAGAAUAAAAUAGUAUCACUUAUACUUCUUCCA